rnacentral:rRNA from 1 species
UGCUAAACAGCUAGCCCCACCCACUAAAAACAACCUACCAAUGUAAAUAACCCCAAAUACACUAACAUUUACUAUUAAACAAACCAUUUUUCCCCCCUAGUAUAGGUGAUAGAAAAGGAUCUGUGGAGCAAUAGAGAAAGUACCGCAAGGGAAAGCUGAAAGAGAAAUGAAACAACCCACUACAAGCAUAAAAAAGCAGAGAUUUAAACUCGUACCUUUUGCAUCAUGAUUUAGCCAGAACCCCCCAAGCAGAGAGACCUUUAGUUUGAUCCCCCGAAACUAGGUGAGCUACUCCAAGACAGCCUAUAGUAGGGCAAACCCGUCCCUGUGGCAAAAGGGUGGGAAGAGCUUUGAGUAGGGGUGACAGACCUAUCGAACCUAGUUAUAGCUGGUUACCUGGGAAUUGAAUAGAAGUUCAGCCUCUCGGUUUCUCCUACCCCCGCCUAAUCUUAUUUGACACUCAGAGAAACCAAGAGAGUUAAUCAAAGGGGGUACAGCUCCUUUGAUAUAAGACACAACUUUACCAGGAGGGUAAAGAUCAUA